AUACACGCUACUGAUCCCUGAUGGGAGAAUCAUCACCUCUGCCAACAAAGAAGCCUGGUGGAUGUUUGUUUACAGUCUGAUGAUGGGACAUCAUGCUCUGCAUCUUCAAAUCUUUUUGCAGGAUCAGAAAACAAAACCAGGAUGAUCGUAAAUGUUUCUUCUCCAAUUGGAUGAUGAUAAGACCAUGACACGGUAUGCCACCUUUAGUCUUGUGAUGAAGGAAAGCUCAGGACGAAGUGUGAUUAAAUGGUACCCACAUGUGUGCUGCUGAGAAGGAUGUACAGGGGCACCUGCAGCCAAAUCCAAGCCUCCUCAGCAACUUCAAGUCUGUCAGCGUGCUGAGGUCACAGAAACAAGAAAAGAAGCUUCAGACUUCA